GACGAACGCUGGCGGCGUGCUUAACACAUGCAAGUCGAACGGAAAGGCCCUGCUUUUGUGGGGUGCUCGAGUGGCGAACGGGUGAGUAACACGUGAGUAACCUGCCCUUGACUUUGGGAUAACUUCAGGAAACUGGGGCUAAUACCGGCUAGGAGCUCCUGCUGCAUGGUGGGGGUUGGAAAGUUUCGGCGGUUGGGGAUGGACUCGCGGCUUAUCAGCUUGUUGGUGGGGUAGUGGCUUACCAAGGCUUUGACGGGUAGCCGGCCUGAGAGGGUGACCGGCCACAUUGGGACUGAGAUACGGCCCAGAGUCCUACGUGAGGCAGCAGUGGGGAAUAUUGCACAAUGGGCGGAAGCCUGAUGCAGCAACGCCGCGUGCGGGAUGACGGCCUUCGGGUUGUAAACCGCUUUCGCCUGUGACGAAGCGUGAGUGACGGUAAUUGGUAAAGAAGCACCGGCUAACUACGUG
rnacentral:rRNA from 1 species